GUCAAAGGCUCCUGGACUUCCUGUCUGAGACUAUUGGAUCAUUCAGCAUUCACUCACAUCACCAAAUAACGAUGCAAUGCAACAUAUUCGUGGAUACUAAUGCAAUCAACCUAUGGCAUAAGCAUGAUGCAUGAGAUAUGCUAAAACAUUCCAUUGUGCAAGUAAAAGAGUUAAGUUUAGUUCCACUCACCUCUGGCUAACUGGACUGACUCUGCAGGCUCU
rnacentral:lncRNA from 1 species